rnacentral:tRNA from 1 species
AUCUGAGUGGCGAAAUUGGUAAACGCAAAGAACUCAAAAUUCUUCGCUUUAAUAAAGCUUAUCGGUUCAAAUCCGUUCUCAGAUA